rnacentral:tRNA from 1 species
CAUCAGAUGACUGAAAGUAAGUGUAGGUCUUUUAAACCUAUAAUAGUAGUUAACGACUACUUCUGAUGA